AUGAGGGUGGUUGCCGAUAAGGAGACAGCUAAAUGUGGCUAAGUCCAUGGGUGAUGAUGUGUUUAUGCCGAUGGUGAAUAUCAAAUGUUGCCGAUGGGGAGUCUGCUGAUGAUACGGCAGGAAGACUUGGAGGUUGCUGAUUGGUCCGUGGUGGUGUCCCAGUUUGUCACGGAAGUAUAGUUUUUUGUUUUUCUUAGUUAUUUAAAUUGUUUUGUACACGGAUUCUGUUUAAAUUUGGAAUUCGAGUUCUAAUCGUGUCUGGUUGUAGCUCUUUGAGCAGGGUAUAAAUGUAGACCCUAGGGCCUUGUAAUCGAGAUAUCUAUCAAUCAAUCAAACACAAGUUUUUACUCAUAUUCCAGCAUCUACUUUUUCGACGACUUCGUCACACUUUUUCCUUUUUUUUACGAGUUCUUAGGAAUUCGUCGACUUAAGCUCGGCGUAUUCUCAAGUUCCGCAUGAAUACCUCUUGGCCGUGGCAUCCGAGCGCAUCGCUGUUGUCGGGACCAAAGUAUUCGAGUUAUCACCUUUGCCAAUAGAAAGGUCAAAUCGGCUAGCACGCCUUAACAUUUAAAUCGGGUAUUAACCCUUUGUGUUUGUAGAUCUAGCUUUUGCAUCAACAGUUCUCAAUGAUCUUGUCAUUGUAGGACAGCUUCUUGGUCAGAUUCUAGUUGAUUUUAGCUUGCCCUAUGACCAGAUCUUUCAAGGAAGGCUGAUUGAAGAAAUUACCCUGCGGGCAGUGCUGAUUGUUCCACCCAUUGUUACCUUGCUGUGGUGGCUGAAACCCAUUGUUG
rnacentral:lncRNA from 1 species